rnacentral:lncRNA from 1 species
GAGUGAGGGCGUGGGUCUGGAAGCUUCCGCCAGACUGUGCGACUGUCGCUGCCUUGCCUUCCCCGCCCCCUCUCCCAUCCCCCCUUCUCUCCCCUCUGUUGCCACACUCCUUAGACAGGGACUGGGCGACCUAGAACGAAGUUCCCAUCCCAUCUUUUAAAAAGCAAAACUUAGUCUCUGUUUUGCUUUUUGUUUCAUUGCUUUUAGCUUUAAAGAGUAAGAGCUGCGCGCCCGGCUCGCUCUUGCUAAUUAGACUUCAGAUCCCCCUCCGGCCUCAGUGCUCAUUCCAGAGAAGACACCUGCUGAGAUGUCUUUUUCCCCCUCCUCCAACCAAACCACUCUAGUCCGGCCUGCGCUUUCCCGGCUUGAUGCAGGCAUGUUUUUUCUCUAUGUAAUUUUUCGUGCGACAACAAACAGCAUCAGCUGGGGUUCCCGAAGGUCAGAAAAUGGCUAUUGAUUAAUCUAUUAGAAUAGUUACCGAGAGAAAUAAAAACGACGUAAAAUAACAGGGAACCUAUAAAUAAAGAAGCCAUAACUAGCUACUUGGAGUUGUUAAACAACUUAGCAUAUGAAAAAAAUCGGAAAUGAGGCGCUGGGAAAGGAGCCGGGAUUGGCGGCGGCCUGGGUGUAGACAAAUCCUCCAAGAUUUAACUUCCGAGGAAACCGGCGGCAGAGCGGGUGGAGGAGGCGAGGAUGUGUGGCCAGUGCACGCGGAGUGCAAUGCAAGUCAGUGAUGGCCGCCUUGUUGGGAGCAGCAAGAGCCUGCCCGUUGUGGCAGGCACAUGGAACCCAAUCCCUAUUUGUCCGCUGCGGCCUGGGAGGGGAAAGCCGGCCUCACCAGAGGAAGGAGCACGAGGGGAGGAGGUCCGAGAGUAAAUAAUUGGCGAAAUAUUUGCAGAAGAUGCUGGGAUGCGGAUUUAAUUCCAGAUGAACAGUGGUGCUUCUGAUUCCCUCAGUCUGUUUCGCACCCACGAUCUCCUCUUUCCUUGUCCUAGACACACCAAAAAUAACUCAGUAAAAUAAAAAUAAAA